rnacentral:tRNA from 1 species
GGGCGGGUAGCUCAGUUGGUUAGAGCGCAUGCCUUACACGCAUGAUGUCGCAGGUUCGAGUCCUGCUCCGCCCACCA